AGAUAGUACGUCUUCUCCGUUUCCUAUAGUAAAUCUCCGUUAGAGCUUCGCUCACUUCAACAAUUAAUUAUGUUCUUCACUCUCCUCUUAAUGAAUUCGUAUCACCUUCUUUUCUUUCUACUUCUUUAUAAACUUACUUCCAAAGAAACCCGAAACUCUCAUAAGCCGAAGUUAUGGCGAUGAAACCCAAUCAAUCAACAAUGGCCCCUAACAGUUCUAAAGCUAAAGCGGCAUGAAUUGUAUCCUCUCCAGUGUCUUCCGCUGUGAUAUCCAUCCGGACCUCCACCUCAAACGUUUUCGCACGAAGGAGACCCUAUCAGGAGUACUUCUCAGUAGGCUUUACGCCUCUGCCUCAGCCUCCACCACAGCAAUACAAUCACUGCCUGCUCUCAUGAUAAUAUGCAACGAACGAAUCGUUCCAACUCCAUCUGUUUAUCAUCCUAUAUAAACCUCUAAUAUGAUUCUCUUAAACCAAACCCAUUUCAAAACAUUGCGUUAGAUUUCUAAUCUUCAUGUACAUUUUGCAGGAAGAAAUUGUAAAGGCAGUCACUACGGAUCCAAACACUGGAUUGAAAGUUCCUUUCAGUAAGCUCUUUGCUAGCUCCACUGUUCAAGAUGUAGAGUAUGAGUGGGGCUCUGGAGACGGAUGAGAGAGUAUCGGCUCUAUUGGUGGUGCAUGAAGCAAUAGAACCGUGAGGAGACAGAGGUUCUAAAACAUUUUGGAUUCAUACUUUUUGUGAUGGAUAAGAUCAAGAGACUGUCGUAUGUGCCUGCAGCACUUAGUCUGAAGCAUGCACCUUCUACAAAAGCAGGUGUUAUCAAGAUGAAGAAUAAACUCGCCUAACACAAGUACAACCCGGACACCUAUUAAGAUCACUUGAUCUACGAGAUAAAAAAAGGUUUAUUCAGGGGUUUAAGAGUUCCCUGUGAUUUAUGUUAUAGUUUCUUUCUUCACAUUUUCUGCUUAGAAGAUACAUUUGAUUGACUAUGCUCCUUUUCUAUGUAAGGUCUGUAAAGUCUCUUUGAAAGCGCAACUUUUUUCUAAACCUCCGGGCUCCGGGUGUCCCCUUUCUCGAGAGUCAACACUUUGCCAUAGUUUUUCUAACAUAUUUUUUUUUCUUCUGCUUUUUACUAUUUUUAUAGAUGGAAUUUUCUGUAUGAAUUAGUUUUUAUCCAUAUUCCUUCAUAUUGGUUAACUAUCCACUUCUAAUUUGUUCUA